rnacentral:rRNA from 1 species
AACGACCGCUGGCGGCAUGCUUAACACAUGCAAGUCGAACGAGACCUUCGGGCCUAGUUGCGCACGGCUGGUUAAGGCCUGGGAACUUCCCCUUGGGUUCGCAAUCCUUCCCCUAAGGGGGUCCUCAUACCGGUUAAUCUCUUCGCACCAAAGAUUUCUUGCUUUUGGAUGGGCCCGGGUUGGUUUCGCUGGUUGGUAGGGUAAAAGCAUACCAAGGCGACGAUGCAUGGCUGGUCGGAGAGGAUGAUUAGCACCACUGGGACUGAGACACGGCCCAGACUCGUACGGGAGGCAGCAGUGGGGAAUAUUGGACAAGGGGCGAAAGCCUGAUCCAGCAAUGCCGCGUGAGUGAUGAAGGCCUUAGGGUUGUAAAGCUCUUUUACCCGAGAUGAUAAUGACAGUACCGGGAGAAUAAGCUCCGGCUAACUCCGUG